GGGAAAUCUCUACCUAAAAGACCUUAUGGAGGCCCAGAUUUUCAACUUACUAGAAUUUUCUUUUUACAUCCUGCUUUCCAUUGCCAACCUUAAUAGACAGUUCUCUUAGGUUCUUUCAGUUUUUAUAUUAUCAUAACUAUGAGACUGGUAAUAAUCACUUCCUAAGAUUUUAACAAUACCAUUUGCAAUAACUUACAAAAAUGAAAAACCUAGGGAUAAAUCUAACAAAAAGAUGAACAAGACUUCUAGGGAGAAAAUCCUUUUUGAUUUGAUUGUUGAGAGAUAUUAACAAGGAUAUAAAAAAUGGAGAGUUAUACCAUGUUCAUGAAUUGGAAAAGUCAAUAUUUUAAUGAUGUCAGUCUCUAUCCUUCACUCUCACUCCCAAAAUCUACAGAUUUAAUGCAAUCCCACUCCAAAUCCCAUAGUCUUCUCAGGAGAAUUUGAUAUAGUUUAUCACUCUUUUUUUCUUGAGACCUUUCUUCUUCUGUUUUUCUCCUAUUUCAUUGGCUAUUCCUUGUCAACAUCUUUUGCUGCCAACGCUUCUACGCAACCUUUAAGAUUUGGUACAUCCCAGGGUUCAGCCUUAGACCCUUUUCUGUUUUCUAUCUGUACUUUCUGCUUACAUUGUCUCUUCUAACCCCAUGGCUCUAAAUGCCACAUAUAUAUGAUGAUUCUCAAAUUUUUAUCUCUACUCCAACAUUGUUCUCUGAGCUCCACUCAUAUUCCAUGGCUUUGUCAACAGUUACACUUAAAUGUCAAAUAGGAAUCUUAAUACGUCCAAUACAAAACUUUUGCUUCUUGCUACUCCUCUCUCCCAUUACACCAACUUGCUCUUUCGCAGUUCCUGGUCCUGGUCAAUAGAAUCAGUUUAUUGCUCAGGCCCAAAUCUAGAAGUUGUUCCUGAUUCCUCUUUUUCCCACAUUCACUACCUCUAAUCAAUCAGCAAGCUUUUUGGGCACUUCGUACAAAAUAUAUUCCAAAUGCAACACUUCUCAACACCUCCACUGCUCCCUGUAAAUCCAAAAUACCAUUGUCUCUCACCAGAUUCCUAACUGGUUUCCAUGCUUCCACUGUUGUCCAGCCCUUACUGCCAAUGGGGUCUGUCUCCAACUGGCCUGGUGGCAGUGAGAACUGUUGAACCCCUUCCAGCCAACUGCCAACCAUGCCUCCAUUCCAUCUGGUUUUCAGGAGGUCAGGCUAUCUUUGGCUUCUGGGGUGGAGGUGGGUCCAGAAGGCUCUAGGUUUUCUCCCAAUUGUGUGGUAGCCAAGAAAGACGUAGAAUGGACCCAACUCUUCCCGUUUUACCCCAAACCAGUCGAUAUGCUCUGGGGUUUCCUUCUCAGGCUAGGAACAAUCUGUUCUGAAAUGGGCCUGAACUCCUGUAGAAGCUCGAAUGAGUUUAGGGCUUUCCGUAUGGAGCCUGGAAGAUGAAAAACUGACCCACCCUUCUCACAACCAAUUGCCUGUUCUGCUCUUUAACUUUCUCCUCUGGGGUGUUGUACUUAGUUCUGUAAGCUCUGGGGAUUACAAAAUGUGCCCGAGAGCCUUGGUAAGUCCAGCAGGCUUUUGGGUAUUGUACCUGCUGAAUCUCAAAGCGAUGAAAGAACACCCUUCCUCCAGCCCCGCCCCCAACACCCACCACCUUCCUCCCCGCCACCUGCACCAAUCCCCCCGGGGCCCUGUUCUCAGUCCUGGUAGCUCUUGUCAUCCGGGAUAGGACAGGUCUUUGGGAGAAGCCACGUGAUUCCCGAAUGCAUUUCAGAGCAGCCCUUGAAGAGCCUGCGGGGCUCCCUGCCCACUGCCCAUCUGGUUCUGCGGGCCCGGGGUCCCUUCCUGGCUCUGACGAUGGCGGAACCGGCAGGAAAGUCAUCUGUGCUUGACUGAACGGCCGUCAUUCACUCCCCACCUGCUCCUUCCCGGCUGCCGUCUCCUCCAGCCACCUUUCUCUUGGGUCUCCCGGCUGGUCAGCGCCCGUCCCCUUCCCGCGGUCUCCCAGUCGUAGUCCUCCUCUCCGCAGGGUGGCGCCACCGCCGGGUCUGCGAGCAGGCGGGUCGGCCCCGGCCCGGCCUCGGGGGAGGUGUUUCAGCUAUGCAGUUCCGGGAAGCCGCCCGCCAACCCGCACUUUUUGGUUUCCCGCCUUGUUUCCUGCUGUUGGUGCCCGGACCCAGUGGGGAACCGGGUUCUCAGACCUGCCAACCCCGAACAAACAAGUACUUCGGGGUUUGGGGGCCGCCCACGAGUUGGGUGCUCAUCUGGAUAGCGGGAGGAAUCGGGCACGCACGACUCCUUGCUCGCCUCGACUCGUCCGCCGCCGCUGCCGCCGACCCAGCCUAAAGCCCAUUUCUUGCAGCUGCCGGCUCUGGGGAAGCAAGAUCUCUUACCAGGUUUUGGGGAAGGUUGCGAAAGGCGAGCUAAGGUGGCAGUGUGCACAGGUGGCCACAGGGUGGAGCCAACGGCCCGCUGCGGGACGUACUCGGAGCACAACGCCUCCGCGCGCUGCCACAACCAACGAGCCGCUUCUAGUUACUAAUUAAAUGUAGAAGGGGGUGGGGGGAGGGGUUAGCCCGGUGAUGGGUAUUAAGGUGGGCACGUUCUGCAUUGAGCACUGGGUGUUAUACGCAAACAAUGAAUCAUGGAACACUACAUCAAAAACUCAUGAUGUAAUGUAUGCUGAUUAACAUAAUAAAAAAGGAAAAAAAUGUAGGCCUUAAAAAAGUAUUCGUGACCGUUAAGAGCUGAUUUACGGUAGAAUCUACUAACAUGUGCCAGUUAGGAACAAAGAAAUGGUUGAUGAGUAUAUCUGCAACCAAGUAAAAAUGUGUACACGGAUUUACAGUAUCCGGUACUUUUUUUUUUUUUUUUGGUAAAAAUUAACGAAAAGUUCUUCUAAAUUGUUCAAGAAAAUGUAUAACACCAACUUACUUUCUGUACAUUCCUUUUACUUGGAGAUGUAAUGUUGAUCUGUUAGAGGUAGAAGAAGUUUCCUCUCUAUUCAGGCAGAAUAUGCAACUGAGAAACACUGAAUCAUGGGUGAACGAGUUAUCAACUCCUUCCUGACCUUUACUUAGAAUACUGAAAAUGCAGUUACUGAAAAUGCAGGGAGACUGCUCUUGGAAGCCACUUGAUAAUUUCUAGCAUGCUUUUUAUAUAUCCGACUACUCCGUGAUAGCGUUUGUGCUUUCACAAUGUUUCCAGCUUCUUGCCUUAUGCUUUCUGUAGAGUUUUACAUCCUCUUUGUGGUUGAAUGGAGCUAGAUAACUAGUUCUGACCAGUGAGGUGGGAGUGUUGUGUGUCACGUCUGGGCUGGAGAAUUUAAUUCCUGGUAUGGGAUACUCCAUGCUCUCUUUCAGCUCUGGCACAGCUGCCGGCGAUGUUCCCGAAAGUGCCACCUUUAGCAGCCUUAUUUGACUCUGGUGUAACAUGAAUGAAUGACAAACCUCUGUUGGUUUAAGGUGCUGAGAUUUAGGAGUUGCUACCUUAAACGGUAGCCUAUUCUUACACAGCCUGAUUCACAGAUGAAUAGAUCAGGUGUAGAGCUGUCCGUAAGUUUGUUGCCUAAGAUGAGAUCAGAUGCAGUUAUUUGUCAGUAUUUCUUACACUCUUUGCCUUGUCUCAGGACUCUUCCUCAAGAGCCAAGCUGUUUUUGCUGCUGUUGGUUCUGUUUAAAUAAUAAUAAAGAAGAGGCAAGGUCUUUACAUGAAAAUUGUCAUAAAUUCUGCUUUACCUCUCAAAAUAUACCAGGAUUCAGAACAUCUCCACCUGGGCCAACAUAUUUAUUUCUAAUUCCUAGCUUUGCCCUUAAUACCCAUAAAUAUGAGAGACACAAAAACUUACCUUUGGUCUAUAGUGCCUUUGUCUCUGCUACACAGAUUUUUUUUAUCCUCAGGGCAAUAAAUCAUUCGGGAUGGGCAAGAGAUAUGCCUUUCUUUUGCAAACUGGGUGAAGGGUGAGUGGGAAAGAGCAGGUAGAAAAGCAGAACUAGCUUCAAACAUUUACAGCAGGCAUGUUCUUAGGCACACACUGUAGUGGAAGACAGUGCAUGGAAGUUGAGGAUUGGGAGCCUUAUUGUCUUAAAACGGUCAUUGCCAAUGUACCUGCAAGAACAUCUUCACAUAUCCCUGUGGAUUCACACACUCCAGGAAGACACGGGUCAGGUUAUGAGAAAGCCUCAUAUGAAAGGGCAAAAAUCAUGCCCCCAUGUGUCCUGGUGAGGGACUGCCGUGGAUCUCUCCAAGCUGCGUGGAUGCAUUCCUUGCUCGUGGGCUGAAGAGAGAAGCCACCAAAUAACCACGCUAACUCCAAGGACGUGUCUGUGCUCCACCCAUAGUCUCUCAGGAGCCAUCUAUCUAUGUUUGCACCCCAGUGCUUGCACAGAGAAGAAGGCAAGGGACUGUCUAGAUCCGUGGUGGGCACCUGCUGGGCUGCUGCAGCCCUCCCUCCAGGGGCUUCUGGUAUGUCCUUUCUUGCAGC